CGAACGCUGGCGGCGUGCCUAAUACAUGCAAGUAGAACGCUGAAGGAGGAGCUUGCUCUUCUGGAUGAGUUGCGAACGGGUGAGUAACGCGUAGGUAACCUGCCUGGUAGCGGGGGAUAACUAUUGGAAACGAUAGCUAAUACCGCAUAACAGUAGAUGUUGCAUGACAUUUACUUAAAAGGUGCAAUUGCAUCACUACCAGAUGGACCUGCGUUGUAUUAGCUAGUUGGUGGGGUAACGGCUCACCAAGGCGACGAUACAUAGCCGACCUGAGAGGGUGAUCGGCCACACUGGGACUGAGACACGGCCCAGACUCCUACGGGAGGCAGCAGUAGGGAAUCUUCGGCAAUGGACGGAAGUCUGACCGAGCAACGCCGCGUGAGUGAAGAAGGGUUUCGGAUCGUAAAGCUCUGUUGUAAGAGAAGAACGAGUGUGAGAGUGGAAAGUUCACACUGUGACGGUAUCUUACCAGAAAGGGACGGCUAACUACGUG
rnacentral:rRNA from 1 species